rnacentral:rRNA from 1 species
UACGAAGGGGGCUAGCGUUGUUCGGAUUUACUGGGCGUAAAGCGCACGUAGGCGGAUCGUUAAGUCGGGGGUGAAAUCCUGGAGCUCAACUCCAGAACUGCCUUCGAUACUGGCGAUCUUGAGUCCGGAAGAGGUGAGUGGAACUCCUAGUGUAGAGGUGGAAUUCGUAGAUAUUAGGGAGAACACCAGUGGCGAAGGCGGCUCACUGGUCCGGUACUGACGCUGAGGUGCGAAAGCGUGGGGAGCAAACAGG